GGACCUACGGGACGCAGCAGUGGGGAAUAUUGCACAAUGGGGGAAACCCUGAUGCAGCGACGCCGCGUGAAGGAAGAAGUAUCUCGGUAUGUAAACUUCUAUCGGCAGGGAAGAAAACGGACGGUACCUGACUAAGAAGCCCCGGCUAACUACGUGCCAGCAGCCGCGGUAAUACGUAGGGGGCGAGCGUUAUCCGGAUUUACUGGGUGUAAAGGGAGCGUAGACGGCUGGGCAAGCCUGAUGUGAAAGGCGGGGGCGCAACCCUCGGACUGCAUUGGGAACUGUCC
rnacentral:rRNA from 1 species